AGUGAACGCUGGCGGUAGGCCUAACACAUGCAAGUCGAACGGCAGCACAGUAAGAGCUUGCUCUUACGGGUGGCGAGUGGCGGACGGGUGAGGAAUACAUCGGACUCUACUUUUUCGUGGGGGAUAACGUAGGGAAACUUACGCUAAUACCGCAUACGACCUACGGGUGAAGGCAGGGGAUCUUCGGACCUUGCGCGAUUGAAUGAGCCGAUGUCGGAUUAGCUAGUUGGCGGGGUAAAGGCCCACCAAGGCGACGAUCCGUAGCUGGUCUGAGAGGAUGAUCAGCCACACUGGAACUGAGACACGGUCCAGACUCCUACGGGAGGCAGCAGUGGGGAAUAUUGGACAAUGGGCGCAAGCCUGAUCCAGCCAUACCGCGUGGGUGAAGAAGGCCUUCGGGUUGUAAAGCCCUUUUGUUGGGAAAGAAAAGCAGCAGGUUAAUACCCCGCUGUUCUGACGGUACCCAAAGAAUAAGCACCGGCUAACUUCGUG
rnacentral:rRNA from 1 species